AUACGGAGGGUCCAAGCGUUAUCCGGAUUCAUUGGGUUUAAAGGGUCCGCAGGCGGGAAAAUAAGUCAGUGGUGAAAGCCUACAGCUCAGCUGUAGAACUGCCAUUGAUACUGUUUUUCUUGAGUAUAGAUGAAGUGGGCGGAAUAUAUCAUGUAGCGGUGAAAUGCAUAGAUAUGAUAUAGAACACCGAUUGCGAAGGCAGCUCACUAAACUAUUACUGACGCUCAGGGACGAAAGCGUGGGGAGCGAACAGGAUUAGAAACCCUAGUAGUCC
rnacentral:rRNA from 1 species